CAGUCUGGAGGCUGGAAGGCCAAGAUCAUGGUAUUGAAAUGGUAAGGAUGCCUCAUCCUGGGUUUGUGAGUUUAUGAAGAAGCUGAAGAGCUCCAUCACUUCCCAGCUAAACAUAGCUCUUCAGAUCUCAGGGUUUAAGAUGAUUUCCUCCUAAGUCAACGCAGCAUUUUGCCUCCAUUCAAGCAACCCCUUGCUCCAAGCAUCGUGAUGUGACAGUGCAGCGUUCACCGGCCCACCCCAGCUGAUCUGCCCUAUGGCACAAGAAUAACAAUUGGAAAAACUUGGCUUCCCUCCGAGAGCAAUGCCAGCUUUGCCCAGGCCAGCCAUCUCUGGCAUAACUCUGUUCAUUUGAGCUUUCCUCAUGUGUGAUCAUCCUUGUAUGACCCCGAGGCCAGAAUCCCCACUUAUUAAAGCUAGGAAAGACAUUUUUGAGGCUCUAGUUAGUUUGUUCUUUCAUAGUGAAAGAACCAUUUGUGGGCUCAAAGGGGGAUGUGGCAAUAGGUUAUUUCGGGCUUUCGAAAGGCCUGUUUUCCAUCUGGAAUGGAUGUAUUACCUAAUAGGCCAUCCUUUAUAGGAACUGAACAAAGACUCGCUGACACAAUCUCAACGGUUGGCCGUUCUUGGGACAGCUAGACAAUUAUUUUGCUUCUGGGUACAACAAGCACAAAAGAAGGGGCCAAGGUACACGCAGACCUUAGUUUGAGUUGGAGAAGGCCUGAGGGAUAAACCAUCAGGAAAGCUCAUGAGUUUUCAGAAGCUUCUGGGGCCAUCAGGUUGAUACCAGCGUGGAUGCACCAGGCUGAGGGCUGAUGAACCACAGGGCGGUAAAUACAGGGCCCAGCCCAGGGCCUAGGGACAGUUCCCGCCCACUAAAUGUUUGUUGAUCAAAUGACUGAUUGGAGGAAUGAAAAAUAUUAUUUAAAGGAAGGCAAGUGUGUGAGCCAGGCGGGAAAGAGAGGGCUGGACGUGAUGGAGAGAGGUUAUAACCAGCUUCCUCUAGAAGGCUCAUUGCAGCAACCACAUGGCCUUUGAGAAAAGCUUUUCAUCAGGAGACGCCUCAGUCUGCCUAAAGUUAUGUGUUAAGUGUCCAUUGUAUGCAAAACAGUGGGAGGCAAAUAAAAGAAGUCCUUUAGAAAAUUUCCAUUUCCUGCU
rnacentral:lncRNA from 1 species